AUGCCGCCCACCGCCGCUCGCAAAGGACUGGCCUCCCUCAUCAUCCUCACCGCAUGGUGGCUUUGGAAGCAUCGGAACGGUUGUGUCUUUGACGGUGACCGACCAUCAGUCUCGUGCCUAUGCUCUAUAAUCAAGGACGAAGCGCAUCUUUGGGCCAGGGCCGCCGCCACGCAAGAAGGAACAUUAUCCCAGAGAGUUAGACUAGGCCAUGGUGGGAUGAGCAGCCCCAUCUGUCUGCUCCGUGAUCACUUCCAUGCCUUGUUGCGCACAUGGCUUAGUGUAUCGUGA
rnacentral:rRNA from 1 species